rnacentral:rRNA from 1 species
AGGUUUCCAGAGUAAAGCUGAUCUGCUCUGGGUAAGUCGGGGCCUAAGGCGAGGACGAGAGUCGUAGCCGAUGGACAACAGGUGGAGAUUCCUGUACUGCGGUAUGACAGAACUGUGGGGACACGUAAGGAAAGCGGAAGCCGGGAAUGGAAAGCCCGGUGCAAGCGGGGUACCAGUCACUUUGGCAAAUCCGGGUGGCAAUGGGAAGCCGUGAUGCGGAGCGAAAUAAAGUAGCGAAGUCCGUGAGCCAUGCGUCAAGAAAAGCCGCUAUUGUUUAUACCGUACCCGUACCGUAAACCGACACAGGUGGAUGAGGAGAGAAUCCUAAGGCCGGCGGAAGAAGCAUUGUCAAGGAACUCGGCAAAAUGACCCCGUAACUUCGGGAGAAGGGGUGCCUGCGAGAGCAGGCCGCAGAGAAUAGGCUCAAGCAACUGUUUAGCAAAAACACAGGUCUAUGCGAAACCGAAAGGUGAGGUAUAUGGGCUGACGCCUGCCCGGUGCUGGAAGGUUAAGAGGAGAGGUUAGCGCAAGCGAAGCUUUGAAUUUAAGCCCCAGUAAACGGCGGCCGUAACUAUAACGGUCCUAAGGUAGCGAAAUUCCUUGUCGGGUAAGUUCCGACCCGCACGAAAGGCGUAAUGAUUUGGGCACUGUCUCAACAAUGCACCCGGUGAAAUUGAAAUACCAGUGAAGAUGCUGGUUACCUGCGCCAGGACGGAAAGACCCCAUGGAGCUUUACUCCAGCUUGAUACUGGGAUUCGGUAUUGCAUGUACAGGAUAGGUGGGAGGCUAGGAAAUGGUAACGCCAGUUGCCAUGGAGCCAAUGUUGGGAUACCACCCUUGCAGUACUGGGUUUCUAACCAGCAGCCGUGAUCCGGCUGGGGGACAAUGUCAGGUGGGGAGUUUGACUGGGGCGGUCGCCUCCGAAAGGGUAUCGGAGGCGCUCAAAGGUUCCCUCAGAAUGGUUGGAAACCAUUCGAAGAGUGCAAAGGCAGAAGGGAGCUUGACUGCGACACCGACGGGUGGAGCAGGUACGAAAGUAGGACUUAGUGAUCCGGUGGUAUAAAGUGGGAUUGCCAUCGCUCAACGGAUAAAAGCUACCCUGGGGAUAACAGGCUUAUCACUCCCAAGAGUUCACAUCGACGGAGUGGUUUGGCACCUCGAUGUCGGCUCAUCGCAUCCUGGGGCUG